rfam:Tetranychus urticae London genomic scaffold, scaffold_1
GCUGUCAUAGUAUAGCGGUUAGUACUUCGCGUUGUGGCCGCGACGACCCAGGUUCGACUCCUGGUGACAGCA